rnacentral:rRNA from 1 species
UUCGAGUGGCGACGGGUGAGUAACGCGUGGGUAACCUGCCUUACACACGGGGGAUAACAACCUGGAAACAGGUGCUAAUACCGCAUAAGCGCACAGGGCCGCAUGGCCCGGUGUGAAAAACUCCGGUGGUGUAAGAUGGACCCGCGUCUGAUUAGCUUGUUGGCGGGGUAGGGGCCCACCAAGGCGACGAUCAGUAGCCGGCCUGAGAGGGUGGACGGCCACAUUGGGACUGAGACACGGCCCAAACUCCUACGGAAGGCAGCAG